CAAAACAAGUUCCUUUACGAGGACGUUUAGAGGCACCGUACCUGCGUUCGGCGUUUAGCUCCGCCCAACACAAUUGUAAUUGGUUUAAAAGAAAUGCCAACAAAUCAGACCAAUGUUUUUAUCCCAUCCCGGAAUACUGUCUGGACUAGCUAGACCCUCUUCCACAGCACCACGGGAGAGGAAGG